rnacentral:snoRNA from 1 species
AUCCCAUGAUGAGGACAGGCGGCUACAUACUCUUGGAGCCGUUCCCAAGCUUCGGGAAUUGAUUGGAAUCUAGAAAUCCUUCCAUGAAUGGCGUU